CCGAAGCUUUCUCAAAAGUGAAUGCUAUUUGCCUUGUCUUAAUAUAUAAUUUUUAUCUAGAAUAUUUUAGAAGAAUCAAUAUUCAUUGAUGCAUUGAUAUUUUAUUAAUAUUGAUGUAUGUCUCUUUUUAGAACUUUCGAACUUGCUCACUUAAACAAAUAAGUGUGAAGAUGCACAUAAUAGACAAUUAUAUUGUACAUAUUUAAUAUGCCAUCGAACUACUCAUGUAAUAAAUAGUUUUUUCACUAAAAUGAGCCGAUAGGGGCGGUUUAUGAGGAAGAGGCGUCAAGAGGUUGGAACGCACGAUGCGUUCCACCAGAGUGUAAGUAGAAUCUGGAAGGAGUACCAGGAAGUGACGUCAUAAUGAUGGGACGCACGUUGCAUUCCAACUGCCCGUAGAGGGAACCCGGAAGUGAAUGGAGAGUAGAGGGGGAAUCCGGAAGUACAGAUUAAGCGGGCAAUUUAAGAGAGGAGAGAAGCAGUGAGAUACAUCAAAGCCAACUGAGGAAGCCCGUUUUAUCGGGUGAAACGCGUUUUGGAUACUUUGGACAUUUGUUUGGACUAUACAGUUAAUCCAGAACUUGAUAUGGUAUACUAUAUUUUAUUUAUUUUAUACUUGAGUGUAUUUUAAACCAAUAAAGCACCUUUUUUUUUUUUUGGAAGAAACUUCUUUGAUUUGACAUCUACGCUAUCCUGAUCUGGUCAAAGGUGGAACAAGACAGAGCAUUGCACAAAAGAGGGAUCUGGACAUCCUUUUAAUGGUCCACAAGCGCACAUCAUUGAGUCAUAUGAGAGUAUGACUCCAGAUUUGUGAGUGACACCACUCUUGCAUUUAAUAUAUGUUAUACUUGAUAAUACUGUAUUGCACUACAUCUACUAUCUACUAAACAGUUAUUUAGAAGCUCCACCUUACGUAUGUAUUUAUACUAUACUGUGCUUAGCCUCUUAUCACAGAGGUAUCCAGAGAAGGCGCCAAGACUAAACAAGUGCCAUAGAUUUUCUGCAACUGGGUGCAAACAUUUGUUGUUACAUUUCUUAUUUCCUCCUAUCCUCCCCCCACUUCCCUUCCAUUACAUUUCUACCAUCAUUUAUAGAGAGUUUGUCUGUGAAGGUUCCAAACUAAUCGGGUGUUACUAUACAGAAUGUGGUGGAACUACCGCGGUCACAGCUGCUACUGAGCCCAUCACUUUAGGGGGCCUGGCUGCCCUGUGGAUCCCUGCGACCGGGUGACCACUGCCAUGUGUUGCGGCCCCGGCCUGCGUGGUAGAACCGCUGGGGCUGCACGUUAAGGGGCCCAUGCUGUUAGGGCCACCCGAUUGAAAUGAAUUUCCAGGGGGCCCAGUCAGCACUGCGGUGCUUUAUCACCGCGACCGGGCCACCUGUGAUGACAUCAGAGGCUGGAAGGAAGUGACUGCCCUGGUCACUUUCUCCCAGCAAUCAGAGAGAGACGCGCGGGAGAAAGAGAGGAGAGAGUCAGAGUGGGAACUCUGACUCCCAUCAGCCUGAGCCAUUGGACCCCAGGGAAAGCCACCCUCCUGCACCUAAAGUGUAGGAAACAGGAGGGUGACAUUUUGAAUGUGUCUGUAUGUGUGUGUGUGUGUGUAAAUGUAUGUGUCUCUGUAUGUAUGUGUCUGUGUGUUCGUAUGUAUGUCUGUGAUUGUGUGUGUCUACAUGUAUGUGUGUGUCUGCAUGUGUAUCUUCUUGUCUGCAUGUGUGUGUGGGAGGGGGAUUAGGGACGUAUGGGUGGUGGGUAAACAUAUGGCCUGGGGGCCCAGAGCUAUUUUCGCACCGGGGCCCCGUGGUUUCUAGUUACGCCUCUGCAUACAGAAUACUGUGAAGUUAUUUUUCAUACUUUUAUUUUGUAAAAUUAAGAAAUGUUAUACUAUUAAAAUCCUGUAUGUAUAAAAUGACAAUUGUGUUUUGUGAGUGUAAAUUUUGUACAAAAAAAUAUGUUCAUAUUAAAGGGAAAAACCGUACAAUAUAAACUGCUGUGUAUUUUAUAAAAUAUGUUAAUCGCAAGUAUUUUAUUUAAAUAUUUUUUUUGUCAAACCUCUUCCUCCCCAAGUUACUUUGAAAAGUACAUUUUCAUUUUGACAUUAUCUACUGAAAUUAUUUGUUUUGCCAUGGACCAACCCAAAACUAGACAGACCUGUUUUUGUUUUUUUUCUCUGUUAUAUGUUCAAUAAUUCAUAAAGGAUGCAGUAGGUGAAUUAAAAGUAUAACUGGCUUGAAGAAUGUAUAUUUUUGUGUCUGUCUGGUUUAGGAAACAAAAAUAACUGUACCUAUCCGCACCACACUAGCCUGGAGCCGUGUCUCCGUAUUGGCCCUGACAACCAUUGUUGCAAGCUCUGCCCUUUGCUCCUGUCAAUACGCUUAGAAAGCAGAAUGGAAAGCGUAAACAAAGUGUCCAAUUCUCCUU